rnacentral:rRNA from 1 species
UACGUAGGGGGCAAGCGUUUGUCCGGAAUCAUUGGGCGUAAAGCGCGUGUAGGCGGCCCGGUAAGUCCGCUGUGAAAGUCGGGGGCUCAACCCCUCGGAUGCCGGGUGGAGUACUGUCGGGCUAGAGUGCGGGAGAGGCGAGUGGAAUUCCUGGUGUAGCGGUGAAAUGCGCAGAUAUCAGGGAGGAACACCAAUUGGCGAAGGCAGCUCGCUUGGAACGU